rnacentral:rRNA from 1 species
GACAGAGGGUGCAAACGUUGUUCGGAUUUACUGGGCGUAAAGCGCGUGUAGGCGGCUUUGCAAGUCGGAUGUGAAAGCCCACGGCUCAACCGUGGAAGUGCAUCCGAAACUGCAUGGCUUGAGUCUCGGAGAGGAAGGUGGAAUGCUUGGUGUAGAGGUGAAAUUCGUAGAUAUCGGGAGGAACACCGGUGGCGAAGGCGGCGACCUGGGUAGAUACUGACGCUGAGGUGCGAAAGCGUGGGGAGCAAACAGG